CCUACGGGAGGCAGCAGUGAGGAAUAUUGGUCAAUGGGCGAGAGCCUGAACCAGCCAAGUAGCGUGCAGGAUGACGGCCCUAUGGGUUGUAAACUGCUUUUAUGCGGGGAUAAAGUGGGCCACGUGUGGCUUAUUGCAGGUACCGCAUGAAUAAGGACCGGCUAAUUCCGUGCCAGCAGC
rnacentral:rRNA from 1 species